GGGCCUCUAGCUCAUCUGGUAUAGCACUACCCUUUUAAGGUAGGUGUGCCGCGUUCGAUCCGCGGGAGGCUCA
rnacentral:tRNA from 1 species